rnacentral:rRNA from 1 species
UACGUAGGCAGCAAGCGUUGUUCGGAAUUAUUGGGCGUAAAGCGCUUGUAGGCGGCUUGUUAAGUUCCGUGUGAAAGCUCCCGGCUCAACCGGGCGAGGCCAGUGGAAACUAUCGAGCUGGAGGGCAGUAGAGGCAGGCGGAAUUCCGGGUGGAGUGGUGAAAUGCGUAGAGAUCCGGAGGAACACCAGAGGCGAAGGCGGCCUGCUGGGCUGCACCUGACGCUGAGCCGCGAAAGCCAGGGGAGCGAACGGG